rnacentral:tRNA from 1 species
GGAUGUAGCUUAGUUGGUUAAAGCGCUGGUUUGUGGCACCAGAGAUCGUGGGUUCGAGUCCCAUCUUC